rnacentral:rRNA from 1 species
GAUUGUAGUCUGCAACCCGACUACAUGAAGCUGGAAUCGCUAGUAAUCGCGAAUCAGAAUGUCGCGGUGAAUACGUUCCCGGGUCUUGUACACACCGCCCGUCACACCAUGGGAGUCGGAUAUGCCCGAAGCCGGUGACCUAACCGCAAGGAAGGAGCCGUCGAAGGUGGAGCCGAUGACUGGGGUGAAGUCGUAACAAGGUACC